rnacentral:rRNA from 1 species
UACAUAGGUCUCGAGCGUUGUUCGGAUUCAUUGGGCGUAAAGGGCGCGUAGGCGGCCUGUUAAGUCGAACGUGAAAUCCCCGGGCUCAACCCGGGAACUGCGUCCGAUACUGGCAGGCUUGAGUCCGGGAGAGGGAUGUGGAAUUCCAGGUGUAGCGGUGAAAUGCGUAGAUAUCUGGAGGAACACCGGUGGCGAAGGCGGCAUCCUGGACCGGUAUUGACGCUGAGGCGCGAAAGCCAGGGGAGCAAACGGG